AAGGUUUCACUAUAAAUUUAAGUUUGUGAAAAGACAUCAUUCAGGGAUUCAGUAAGGACGUAUAGGUUACACUUACUUCUCAGGAAUGGACAGCAAGACCGUCAUGUUUGUAUUUUGCGUUUUGUUGGCAGUUAGUUUCAUGUCCGAAACAGAGGCAGAUUACGGGCUUUACCCAGACAAUAAUGGGAAGAGAUCACUGAAAUUAAGUGAUGUCCGAAGGAAUAUCAGGAGCAUAUGCGCUACCAUGAACGAUGUUUGCCAAAGGGAAAGAGACGAACUGCAGGAUUUUAAUCAGUUAAAGAUGUAAAUACAUUGCUGGUUGAGUUAAACCGAUUACUACAUUUAAACGUGUUUACUGAUUGCAGAAUGAGUUAAGCUCACUACAACAUUUCAGAGGUUACAGUCGAAACCCAAUUGUAAAAUCAAUAAAUUGUGAACAAAUA